UACGUAGGGAGCAAGCGUUGUUCGGAAUUACUGGGCGUAAAGAGUGUGUAGGCGGGGCUCUAAGUCUGGUGUGAAAUCUCCCGGCUUAACUGGGAGGGUGCAUUAGAAACUGGAAUGCUAGAGGAUGGGAGAGGUAAGCGGAAUUCCUGGUGUAGCGGUGAAAUGCGUAGAUAUCAGGAGGAACACCUGUGGUGUAGACAGCUUACUGGACCAUUUCUGACGCUGAGACACGAAAGCGUGGGUAGCAAACAGG
rnacentral:rRNA from 1 species